UCCCUGGUGGACUUGUGGUUAAGCCACAGCGCUCUCUCUGCUGCAGUCCAGGUUUGAUUCCUGGCCAGGGAA
rnacentral:tRNA from 1 species